AAGGCCGCUGGGAACGGGCCACCACUGCCCUUCCCGCCUGGUUCCCCAAAGACUCUCAGACAGGGUUCCCUCUCUCCAGCCCUGACCGAGUCUUCACCUCCUGUGUCCCAAACUGCCUUUUGCUGACUUUCUCUGCACCCCCCACGCCCUUGUACACCUUCCCCCUCUGGCCAUCCCUCCUGGGGUCCCACAAAGCUCUGCUUCCUGGGGUCACCCAACCUCUCCUUCACCCACACCAUCAACCCCAAGCCUGGAAUCCUGACCAGCCAGCCCUCCUGGCUCCCUGGUUGCCAGGCCUUCAUGCUUGUCACCCCCACUGCUACUUCAGGGUCCCGAAGCCCACUUCUGCUGGCAGCCACCUUGACCGCACCUGGAGCAGACCCCACCUGAACACGAAGCCACAGCAGAGGGAGGCAGAGCCAAGGGGACGGAAGAGUGGGCUGAGUCCUGAUCAACAUUGUCUGAGUCCCCGAUCCAGCCCUGCCUGAAGGUAUUGGGCUAAAAGCGCUUUGCAUGCUCCCCUGACUUCCACCAGAAUCCUGAGACCUGAGAAUCGUCAGCCUCACUUUCAGAUGAGGAUACUGAGAGUCGGAUUCAUCAAGGCUGUUUCCCACAACUCGUGAGCAGAAGAUCCAGGAUGUGAACUUCGGAGUUACACGCCACUGCCCUCUCUGUGAGAAGCCUGAGGCACAGCCUCCAUGGCGAUGAAGGCUGGAUACAAACCUGGUUCCAGAGUCUGCGGUGGAGACAGGCAACCUGUAGGCCUCUCCUAUGUCACCCCGCAGUCCAAGUUUCCUGACCCCCAGAACAAAGGGGUUGACCUGAGCCAAGUUUCCUCGCUCAGGGCCGUGGAGGACAGAGUGGGGUCACUACCUGCCCAGACACUUCUCCCCUGCUGGGCCCCAGUGCUGCACACAGGGUGUACGUUCAGCAAAAUGAAGUCAGAUCCCCAGGAGCCACUGCUGGCCGAGCGUGGCUCUGCACGAGGCUGGCACAUGCGUCGCUGGCAGCACACUCGCAGCCUGGCGCGUGCAUCUCCGUGUCACAGAUGAGGAGAUGAGGUGGAGAGAAGUGAAGCCACUUGUCUCAACACACAGGACUCUUACGGACAGAGCCAGGACCCCAGCUCAGGUCUGCCCACUCCCGAGCCUGACCCCCGGCCUCGGACACACACCGCAGCUCUGAGCAAGUGCCAGGCCCGGGCAUUUCAUGUAACCUUGGCAACUCCCCAUUUUAUGGGCGAGGACACUUAGGCCAAUGCCUGCAACCACAUGGCUCAAAACUGGGGGGUUGGGUUUGGAACCUAUUCAGGUUGCCCUGAAGUCUGUAUUGCUUUGACCACCUUAUUCCCCAGGUUCCUCCGUAAAUCCAUCCAAAUAAUGUUGAGACACUUGGGUGACACACUCCCCCGCCGCCUGGAACACCCAGCAUGGACCACUGGCCUCCCCCACCUGUGCUCCAGAUCAGAGCAGAUCAGAACCUCCCUCCCUCUGCACUGCCAAGAGGUAGAAAACGGGGUCAGAGGCGCCCGCAGGAGAGGAGCGAGUGCAGAUGACAGCCCGUGGCUGGCGGGCCUGCGGGUAGGUGGGAGGGACGGGGUUAGUGUCCAGGCCAGGCUGACCCACUUGGGGACUUUUCCUUCUCUUUGAGCUUUCCUCGGUGGUCUCCUCCCCGCCCACAGGUCUGGCUGAGCGGGCUUGACCCCGCCCAGCGGCCACCAGGACGCUGCU